GUGCUCACUUCGGCAGCAUAUAUAUAAAAUGGGAAUGAUACAGAAAUUAGCAAUGUCCAGGUGACAUGCAAAUUCAUGAAGUGUUCCUUAUUUUU
ensembl:snRNA U6 U6 spliceosomal RNA